AAACUCAAUUAUAGUAGGACUAGAACUAACUUCCAACUCAAACUUCCACUCAACCAUCCCGAUUAUGCCUCCCUUGCUGCUAGAAUCGCUGUCUCCAGUCUCCACAAGAACACUAAAAACUCAUUUUCUGAAACGGUUAGAGAUAUGUACGAUCAUGUCAAUGAGAGUUCUGGACUCAAGGCUCCUCUAAUUGUUGAUGAUGUAUUCGAGAUCAUUAUGAAGGUAGUAUAGCUUUUGUUAUAAUCCCUCUAUCUGAUGAUGACCUAACAUUCAUCAUUUUAGAGAGUGCUGGGAUAAGAGAGCUUGUGACUUGUGUAUGACUGGGAUAAUCAAUUUUUUUUGUUUGUGUUGUGAAAUAUUCUAAAAUCACCCAAAGUUUAAUAACAAAAUCUAUAGAAUUACAUUCAUUUUUUUGUUUUUUAAAUAUAAAAAUGUUAAAAAAUAAUCAAAUCUCCUAAAAACUCAAUCAAAUCUUUCUAAAUUCUAAAAUAUUAAAAUCCUACCAAAUACAAGUUUAAUACCCCUCUUCGUCAUAAAGAUAUAAGAUGCGAUUUUUAAUUGUGAAGAUAUUUUAGUUAAUAUGAUGAACAACUAUGAAGCAUGGAGACGAGAACAAUUUUGAUAAAUGUGAAUGGUUAUUUUUCUCAGUAUACGUGUCACAUCUUUAUUCUCUGUUUUUUUUUCUUUUCGAUCUCAUCCUAUUUUUAAUGGGCUUUUAUUCCACGUUUAUCUCAUAUCUCUUCCUUUUGUUAAUGGACUGAAACUGUAUGGGCCACACAGAAUUUCUCGCUUCCCCAAACCGAAACGAAACCGACGGGAUCUCCGACUUCAGUCUUCUUUUCUUCCUCGCCUCUCUCUCUUCCCCACUCCUCCCCCCUUAUCUGUUCCACUCCGGCAGAUCCCGAAUUAGCCGUCUCAAAGUGAAGCUCGUUGGAUAGAGAUCCGUCUUCUCCUCUUCCUCGCCUAUCUCUCUUCCCCACUCCUCCCCCUUAACUGUUCAACUCCGCCUGAUUUCGUAACAGCCGAGUCGAAGUGACUCUCGACGCCUCAAUUCCAUUGGAUAGAGGAAAAUGAGUGUUUGUCUCGCGUGUUCUCUCUCCUGCGACUACAACGAUGACGACGGCGGCUCUCUUGAAGUCAUUGUCGCCGUGAAGUCCGGUAAGACUGUAAACCAACCCCGACUCUGGCAUGUUGAGGUUAAUUUGGAGAAACUCCAUUUGGGGAUGAUGUGGUACUCGACAGAGGAUUGUCAUUUCCUGCCCUUGAAGCAAGGUUUCGAUUGCUAGAACUUGCAAUUGUAUAUACGCUUUGAUUCAACCAGAGACAACGAGAUGUGGAAUUCAGAGAAUCUUCUAAUGAUCAGAGACAACGACUUUUAUCUGACAUGGUGAGACUUGAGGCAAAAGUUGAAAGGCUUGAGACUCAAUUGCAAGCCAAAGAGAGGGAACUUGGUUCUCUCACAAGAACAUAAGCUAAGAAUACAACGGCUUUAAAGGCACAGAACGAUAAGCUACAGAAAGAGAGAGAUGACUUUCAACGGAUCGUGAUUGCUAACCAGCAAGUCAAGACCCGACAGUUACAUGAAACGAAGAAGAAAGAAAAGGAGUAUAUAAAGUUACAGGAGAGGUUAAACCAAGUGUUGAUGGAGAAAAAGAAGGAAACAAGAUCAGGCAUGGAGAUUAUGAAUCUACUCCAGUCAUUUUCUAGGAUUGUGCUAUGCUUAUUAUGAUCUGUUGAGCAUUUUCAAGGAAAGAACUGGAAGAAAAUAGGACCGCCUAAUUGCGUUCUGAUAUGUAUUCUUUAGUUAGUAUGUUGAAAGUAAUGAUUCACCUUUUCAGCUGAUUGAUUUAAGGAUCAGACUGAUGCCCCGUUUCUUUCUCAUUGAUGGCAAAAGGUCUUAAACCUGGAGCUUUUGAAAGGACCGUGGUCAAAAGAGUUUCUACCAUUUUGCUAUGUUUAUUAUGAUCUGUUGAGCAUUUUCAAGGAAAGCACUGGAAGAAAAUAGGCACGACUUUUGGAGAGGACCCCAUCUCUCAGUGAUCUAAAUGAGCUCGUGUAUGGACAGUUCUGAAAAUUGCUCUAAAUAAAAUACCUUUAUGAGCU